UCCCUCCUUCUCCUUCUCUCCCUCCCUCUCCUUCUCUCCCUCCCUCUCCUUCUCUCCCACUCUCUCUUUCUCGCUCUCUCUCUCUUUCUGUCCACAGAGUGUCCAUCCUGACCCUAACAGUGAUACGUACACACCUCUGAACAUGAAGACCAGGUCACCAGAGUAUGACACCCUGGCAAAUGUGAGGGGAAUCUCCCACUGAAGAGUAUCACCACAGAACCUGGACUGAAGAGAACAACCACAGAUCCUGGACUGAAGAGAGGCACCACAGAUCCUGGACUGAAGAGAGGCACCACAGAUCCUGGACUGAAGAGAGGCACCAUAGAUCCUGGACUGAAGAGAAGCACCAUAUAUCCUGUACUGAAGAGAACAACCACAGAUCCUGGACUGAAGAGAAUCAUCACAGAUCCUGGACUGAAGAGAACAACCACAGAUCCUGGACUGAAGAGAAGCACCACAGAACCUGGACUGAAGAGAAGCACCACAGAACCUGGACUGAAGAGAAGCACCAACAUUGAACCUGGACUGAAGAGAACCACCAACAUUGAACCUGGACUGAAAGUUCCAAUACAAAACGAGGCCUUACACCUCUAUUCUAUUGCUGCCAUAUCUAGAGGUUUUUACACACCAUGAACUUUAUCUUUUCAGUAAAUACUGGAAUAUAUAUUUUGGAAUGGAAUAUAUUGAUGAUAAAUGAGAUGUGUUAUAUUUUGAUGUAAAUCUGUUAACUAUCUUUAGUUUUAUUUCUGAUCUUUUUCUAUGGGAUUUUGCCAUAUACAGAUGUUUUAUAACAUCAAUAGUCCUACUUUCCUCAGCAACUAAUAUGGAUCAUAUUGAAAACAGCUUUUUAAUAUUUUUAGCUCUUGGGCCAAGUUUCUCCAGAUGUUUUUCAUGAUGAUUAACUUUGUAUUGCUGUCAGAUAUUAUUACUAAUUUUAUAUUACGUAAUACAAUAUUGUUCCGUCAUGAUAUAUUUUUUAUUUUCAAAUAAAUGUAAUCAGUCCGUUAUUAUAAUUUCCAACAUUUUGGUAGGCUAUUUGUUAGUCAACUUGUCUAUCAUUUCUAAAUACAUGCAGUGGCGACACGUCAUUCAAGGCAGCUGAGGCAGAGCUAAAUCCGUUUUCAGCCCCAUGGUUAGCUUUUUUUGUUGCUUGUUUUGCAUGUUUUGAAAUUAAUACGUGAAACAUAUCAGUUUGCAAAUAAAGUUAAUAAAUAAAUAAAGCAUUGAGUUAAUAAAGUCGCAUAGAAACAUGGUCUCUCUUUUCCUUUCUUGAGUUAAGGCAGCUCCAAAAUGCAGGUGUUUCAGCCUAGCUCAGUGCUUUCUGUGGUGGUGGGGCAGCCAGCAUAAAAUACGGAGCGUAGGGGUUGGUAAUGUUCUCUAGUUGUGCUGUGAUUGGCUCAGUGUUCUGUCACUCAUGGGGACACUACAUAACCACAAAAUCUACGGGUAGAGCUCGAAAUGUUAAACCCCUUGGGUGCUGCCAUAGAAUUACAGUAGAAAUGCCCAUCCAACAAGGCUCAAGGUCAUUGGCUUAGACAAAAUUACGUCAAAUCGCGUUAAAUCUACCGUAGCUUUGAUUGGACUGAUUGGACAAACUUUCAAAAUCUUAGCUGGCAAGCUAGACAAGCAGUCAUCAUCAUGCAUCAAGUCGACAAUCUACUGACAAAUCCUUAUCAAUCCUUGUCAUAUGAAAUUAUAGAUAAAACGUAUCAGUGCUCAUUGGCCAUUGGACAUAAACAUUAAAAAACAAGUUGGAACAAAUCACAAAUUCAACAAUUAGUGCUAAGGCAGCACUGCAGGCCCGGGUUUGAUCCCGGACUGUUACAGCCGGCUGUGACCGGGAGACCUAUGAGGCGGAGCACAAUUGGCCCAGGGUCACCUGGGUUAGGGGAGGGUUUAGCCGGCCAGGAUGACCUUGUCUCAUCAUGCUCUAGUAACUCCUUGUGGCCUGGCGCCUGCAAGCUGACGUCGGUCGUCAGUUAAACAGUGUUUCCUGCGACACAUUGGUGCCUGCUGUUUGUCCUCCUGUCCAAGGGGUGGAGCUGGAGAGCACCAGGCUGGUGAUCAGGUACCCAGACCGCUGGAUGCAGAGAACCCCUCACUCUCCUCAGAAGACCAACCCUAUAGGCCUCAACACCUCCUCAGCCUCCCAGUACGCCUCCACAUGGUAAGGACAUCUGUCUUUGAGGAGAAUAUUACUG
rnacentral:lncRNA from 1 species